CUUAUACCAGCUUUAUUCUUCCUUCUUUGCUCUCUUUCUCCAUAGUGAUGGUUGUUGAAGACGAAGCAACGGCAAUUAAGGUGGUUUUCGUUGUGGUUCACCGUGGUUGUUGACCUUCCCAACGACUGAGGUUGUCGGCGACGACCUAGGGUCCAUAUUGGCCAACCGGUGGCCACUCCCAGCGGCCCAGAACCGAUGGCCAGAGGUCUGUUUUUUUAUCUUUAUUACCAGGUUGUUCAAUAUUGUUGAGGUUUCAUUAUGUUGACAGUUUGGAGUGAGACUGUUAUUUGGCACGACUUCUAGGGUUUUUUUUUUUCAUGUCUUUCGAGAACUGUGAUACUCAUUGAUGUUUAGGGAUAAUAGCUAUUCAAAAGCUCAUUUCAAAUUUCAAACCCACAAAGUUUCUAGAUCUGGAUCUGCUCACUUGCCGCCGCUUAUUUAGGGUUUCAGUGAGUUUAUUUUCGUGACUUAGAAGAAAAUUAGCUACAAUUAAUGUGUUACAGAAGUUUUGCUGAAAGGUUCAUGGCCCCUGAUGAACUUUAGUCUGAUCCAAACAUAAAGAGCCUAAAGGCAAAACUUAGAGCCAUUAUUCCAGAACUAGAAGAAACGAAAAAGAGGAAAUCUGAGAAGAACAAUCAGUUCAUGUGCAGCUACAAGAACUUGAGAAAGAGUAUGUAAUUCUACCCAUUUUGCUAUUAAAUUUAUUAUAACUUUAGUACGUAAGUUUGUUUUAGAAUUCAUUACAAUGGCUAAUUACAUGUUUUUCUCUCAAAUAUCCAGAGUGAUUGGGUCAAAGUAGAUAGGAUGUUGCAGCCAAUUACUAUGUUUCUGUAUGUUAUAUUGGCUGCUAAAUGAUGCAUUUAGAUUUGCUAAGCCUAUGUUUAAAGCGAAAUUUUGCAAUCUGAAUGUCAUGCCUUCCCCUGAGCUACAUGCAAACAUUCCGCAGUUGAAGCAUGACAAGCGUUAGGUUGUUCGGAUCUUCCCAGGUUAUACCAUCGGAAAAGACAGCAAGUCUUCCCAACCUGCAACCAUCACUACCCUUUCGUUUUUAUGAAAAAUUCGUUAAAGGUGUAGUGGCUAGAAUAAUGUUUGUCCUUGCUGCUUGCUCUACCCUACAUCCACUUCAUGCUGCUAUGGGACCCAUGUUCACUCAGGUAUAUUAUAUCUAUACCUGUUCGUAUUUAUAAUGGGUAGAGGUAAAAAUGGGCCGGCCGGGCUGCGAAUAGUUUGGGUAAUGU